UUUUUUUAUUUGUUUGCUGCAUCUCAUCAUGGCAUCAUCCGCAUUGCAUCGGCACUCGUUGCCGUCAUUGUUUUUAAAAACUUGCAUCCGCUCGUAGUUGCCGCGUUUCCCCCUUGCUUUCGCUGACCGUUUCGAGACCAACCUUGUUCUUCGUUUUCCCUCUUGCUUAAAUCAGAGUCCCUCUUUGCACAGUGCAUCGGCCCCUCGCCCGUGUCCGAAACUUUCCCGAACCCGAACCGGACUACCGUUACCGUUGGGUCCGGAUCAUCCCCAAACAUCUACAAAACAUCACCGUUUUCUUUGUUGAACUUUCCUAGCCUAUUUUUCUCGAUCGUCCGAUUUAAAUCAGAGGGCCCAAAUAGCCUCUAAUCUAAUCCCAUGAGAUAUAUAUUAGUCCAACCCUAGAAAUUAGGAGCCUUGUCCCAUCCGGCCGCCGCCAGCAUCUCCCACCUCGGGAUCCCUCCAGAUCCACCCUCUCUCCUUCCCUCGUUUUCCCCACUGGAUCAAUCCAUCUCCCACCUCGACUCCGAGUGCCCCUGCAGCCUCCCGCGUCUGAUCUAGGGAGAGCAGCACCCUCCCGAGCUCCUCCAUGCCGUGCCCCUUCUCCAAGUCCUGCGCCUCUCCUCUAGCUCCCUGCCGUCGUCCCCGGCGAGCAGUUCUGCUAGCAGCCACCAGCAGGACAGCCACGCUCGCGCCUCUCCUUCCUUUCCCUUUCUUCUCCUGUUGCCUUUCCCUCUCAUGCUCUCUCUCCCAGGUACGCCCGUGCAGGAGCCGCAAGGAGGAAGCCGCCAUCACCAAGCUCUUGCCGUGCGCGCCUGGAUCCGCCAUCCCCGGCUCCUCCGCGCUCGAUUCCCGUCGCUGCGCCAAGUCCCUCGUCCCGCUCGUCUCCGACACCAGCGCCGUCCGCCCCGGCAACCUCGACGUCGAGCUCCAGUAGGAACUGCUUCGCGCGCCCCUGUCCCCGCAAGCGUUUGAGGCUGCGCCCAACUCCUCGUCCAGCCCCUCCCCGUCACCUGCAUCUCCUCCGGCAGCGCCGCCGUGCCCGCACGCCUAUGGUGAAGCUUCGGUGAGCCAAGCCACGCCCGUGCCCCUGUUUCUUCCUUCCCUUUCACCUUCUAUCUCUCCCUCACAUCUCUCUCUCUCUCUCUGUCUGCUCGUACAGGGAGCUCCGACGCCCUGGAGACCGAUGCCCCCGCCGGACCUCCUUCCUCCGCAUCCGGCCACGCCGGCGGCAAGCCCUGCCUCCGCCGCCUCGCCAAGUUUCGCCGCCUGAACCUCCCUGCAUCGCCAUGGCCGCCGGCCUCUGUUUUCCCCGCUGUGAGCAACUUCCUCCAUGAACGAAGCUUCGAUCCUUUCCUAGAUCCGUUCUGGCAUGUAGAGGUUAUUUAGAAAUGCCACUAUGUUCCACCGCAAGCAUAUCAGCUAGCCCAGUGGCUAGCGUGGCCUCUAUCCAUUCGAGGGGUCUGGGGUUCGAGUCCCAGCCGCCCCCUUUUAUUUUGCUUAGUUUUUCCUGUUAUUUUGCACUCCCACUUCUGCUUCGGGCCAGAUCUGCUGCUGGGCUUGCACAGUGCGUUGCACUCGGCCCGUUGCUAUUUUUUUUGGCGUGCUGCGAAUUUCAUAUUAUCCAGAGAGUGCGGUUUUGCAGAAAACCCCUCAUACAUCAUGCAUAUAAUAACUUCACAGCCGUGCAUCGGAUUAAAAUAAUUUAUAUAUGUAAAAUGUCUAGAAUUUCUUCUAGUUUCAUAAUAUGCUGCUCUCAUCCAUGUUUAAAAUGUUUAAACUUGUUGUUUAUUUAAUUUGCUUAAAUGCCAUGUUAAAAUGAUUUAUUUCAUAACUAAUUAACCGUAACUCGGAUUUAAAUAAACUUUAUAUGCAAAUGGGGUAGAAAAAUGCCUAGUUUAACAUGGUACACUUUAUUUUGCUUAGUUUUUCCUGUUAUUUUGCACUCCCACUUCUGCUUCGGGCCAGAUCUGCUGCUGGGCUUGCACAGUGCGUUGCACUCGGCCCGUUGCUAUUUUUUUUGGCGUGCUGCGAAUUUCAUAUUAUCCAGAGAGUGCGGUUUUGCAGAAAACCCCUCAUACAUCAUGCAUAUAAUAACUUCACAGCCGUGCAUCGGAUUAAAAUAAUUUAUAUAUGUAAAAUGUCUAGAAUUUCUUCUAGUUUCAUAAUAUGCUGCUCUCAUCCAUGUUUAAAAUGUUUAAACUUGUUGUUUAUUUAAUUUGCUUAAAUGCCAUGUUAAAAUGAUUUAUUUCAUAACUAAUUAACCGUAACUCGGAUUUAAAUAAACUUUAUAUGCAAAUGGGGUAGAAAAAUGCCUAGUUUAACAUGGUACACUUUAUUUUGCUGUUUAACAACAUUAAAAUUGUGUUUAGGGCAGAACAGUACCAAAUCAAAAUAUGCACAUGAGGAUUUUAUGGAAUUGUUGUUUGUUAUUUCCGGCCUUAUUUAAACUUGCCUAAAUAGUUAGCUUACUUAUGCUUCACCAUAUUGCCAUGUUAAUCAACAUUUAAUAUUGUUGGGUGCAUAACCGAGAGAGCUAAACAAUGGAUAUGGUGUUUCGUCAAUAUGCAACUCGUUGCAUAUUGAGCUCCACUUAACUUGUAGUUUUAUUUGUGCACUUUGCCAUGCCAUGCCUCAUUAAACCGGACAUGCAUCAUACUUGAUUGUGCUUCAUGCCAUGUUUAUGUGGUGGUUGUUUACUAUGUUGUUUGUUUCUUUCCGGGUUGCUUCUCUCGUUAGCUUUGGUUUCUUUCCGGAGUUGUGAGGAUUCGUUCGACUCCGUCCGUUUGUCUUCUUCAUGGACUCGUUCUUCUUCCUAGCGGGAUCGCAGGCAAGAUGACCAUACCCUCGAAAUCACUUCUAUCUUUGCUUGCUAGUUGUUCGCUCUAUUGCUAUGCCGCGCUACCUACCACUUGUUAUAUCAUGCCUCCCAUAUUGCCAUGUCAAACCUCUAAUCCACUCUUCCUAGCAAACCGUUGUUUGGCUAUGUUACUGCUUUUACUCAGCCCCUCUUAUAGCGUUGUUAGGUGCAGCUGAAGAUGAAGAUUGCUCCAUGUUGGAUUAUGUUUAUGUUGGGAUAUCACAAUACCUCUUAUUUAAUUAAUGCAUCUAUAUACUUGGUAAAGGGUGGAAGGCUCGGCCUUAUGCCUGGUGUUUUGUUCCACUCUUGCCGCCCCUAGUUUCCGUCAUACCGGUGUUAUGUUCCUUGAUUUUGCGUUCCUUACGUGGUUGGGUGAUUUAUGGGACCCCCUUGACAGUUUGUUUUGAAUAAAACUCCUCCAGCAAGGCCCAACCUUGGUUUUACCAUUUGCUACCACCUAUCCCCUUUUCCCUUGGGUUCUGCAGACUCAAGGGUCAUCUUAUUUUAAACCCCCCCCAGGCCAGUGCUCCUUCGAGUGUUGGUCCGAACUGAGUAGACUGCGGGGCCCCCUCGUGGAAACUCGAGGUCUGGUUUUACUCGUAGGAUGUCUCAUCCGGUGUUGCCCUGAGAACGAGAUAUGUGCAGCUCCUAUCGGGAUUUGUCGGCCAUCGAGCGGCUUUGCUGGUCUUGUUUUACCAUUGUCGAAAUGUCUUGUAAACCGGGAUUCCGAGACUGAUCGGGUCUUCCCGGGAGAAGUUUUAUCCUUCGUUGACCGUGAGAGCUUAUAAUGGGCUAAGUUGGGACACCCCUGCAGAGUAUUAUCUUUCGGAAGCCGUGCCCGCGGUUAUGUGGCAGAUGGGAAUUUGUUAACGUCCAGUUGUAGAGAACUUGACACUUGACUUAAUUAAAAUACAUCAACCGCGUGUGUAGCCGUGAUGGUCUCUUCUCGGUGGAGUCCGGGAAGUGAACACGGUUUCUGGGUUAUGUUUGACGUAAGUAGGAGUUCAGGAUCACUUCUUGAUCAUUGCUAGUUCACGACCGUUGCGUUGCUUCUCUUCACGCUCUUAUUUGCGUAUGUUAGCCACCAUAUAUGCUUAGUGCCUGCUGCAGCUCCACCUCAUUACACCAUCCUUCCUAUAAGCUUAAAUAGUCUUGAUCUCGCGGGUGUGAGAUUGCUGAGUCCUCGUGACUCACAGAUACUUUCAAAACAGUUGCAGGUGCCGAUGAUACCAGUGCAGGUGACGCAACCGAGCUCAAGUGGGAGCUCGAUGAAGAUCUUGUUCGUUGUGUUGUUUGUUUUCAUGUUGAUCAGUAGUGGAACCCAGUUGGGACGAUCGGGGAUCUAGCAGUUGGGUUAUCUUCUUUUCUUUUGGUUUUGACCGUAGUCGGUCUAUGUGUGUACUCGGAAUGAUGUAUGUUUUAUUUAUGUAUUGUGUGAAGUGGCGAUUGUAAGCCAACUCUUUAUCCCGUUCUUGUUCAUUACAUGGGAUUGUGUGAAGAUGACCCUUCUUGCGACAAAACCACAAUGCGGUUAUGCCUCUAAGUCGUGCCUCGACACGUGGGAGAUAUAGCCGCAUCGUGGGCGUUACAGAUA
rnacentral:lncRNA from 1 species